UACGGAGGAUCCAAGCGUUAUCCGGAAUUACUGGGCGUAAAGAGUUGCGUAGGUGGCAUCGUAAGCGGGUAGUGAAAGCGUGUGGCUCAACCAUACUCACAUUAUCCGAACUGCGAAGCCUAGGAGGCGAGAGAGGUUACUGGAAUUCCCAGUGUAGGAGUGAAAUCCGUAGAUAUUGGUGAGGAACACCGAUGGCGUAGGCAGGUAACUGGCUCGUCCCUGACACUAAGGCACGAAAGCGUGGGAGCAAACGGG
rnacentral:rRNA from 1 species